rnacentral:rRNA from 1 species
CCUACGGGAGGCUGCAGUGGGGAAUAUUGGACAAUGGGGGCAACCCUGAUCCAGCCAUGCCGCGUGUGUGAAGAAGGCCCUCGGGUUGUAAAGCACUUUCAGUGAGGAAGAACGCCUGGUGGUUAAUACCCAUCAGGAAAGACAUCACUCACAGAAGAAGCACCGGCUAACUCCGUGCCAGCAGCCGCGGUAAUACGGAGGGUGCGAGCGUUAAUCGGAAUUACUGGGCGUAAAGCGCGCGUAGGUGGCUUGAUAAGCCGGUUGUGAAAGCCCCGGGCUCAACCUGGGAACGGCAUCCGGAACUGUCAAGCUAGAGUGCAGGAGAGGAAGGUAGAAUUCCCGGUGUAGCGGUGAAAUGCGUAGAGAUCGGGAGGAAUACCAGUGGCGAAGGCGGCCUUCUGGACUGACACUGACACUGAGGUGCGAAAGCGUGGGUAGCAAACAGGAUUAGAUAACCUAGUAGUC